rnacentral:rRNA from 1 species
UGGUGGAGUGAUUUGUCUGCUUAAUUGCGAUAACGAACGAGACCUUAACCUGCUAAAUAGCCCGGCCCGCUUUCGCGGGUCGCUGGCUUCUUAGAGGGACUAUCGGAUUUCAAGACGAUGGAAGUUUGAGGCAAUAACA